rnacentral:rRNA from 1 species
UACGUAGGGGGCAAGCGUUGUCCGGAUUUAUUGGGCGUAAAGAGCGUGUAGGCGGCCAGAUAGGUCAGCUGUGAAAACUCGAGGCUCAACCUCGAGACGUCGGUUGAAACCAUCUGGCUAGAGUCCGGAAGAGGAGAGUGGAAUUCCCGGUGUAGCGGUGAAAUGCGCAGAUAUCGGUAGGAACACCAGUGGCGAAGGCGGUCUCCUGGGGCAUUCUUGACGCUGAGGCGCGAAAGCUGGGGGAGCAAACGGG